rnacentral:misc_RNA from 1 species
UUUUUUUUAGACAAUUUGUAUUUUAUUUUUAUUUUUGUAAUUUUAGGGGUGUGACCACUCAAGCACAUUGAUGUUUCCUCCUGCCAGAGGGCAUUAUGUCCCAAAUGCUCUUUAGGGGGGAGUGACUGGUUGGCCUUGGGUGGGCAACUGGCCUAGCUAGUCACUGUGCUUGGCGUGUCCCGUUGUGUGCUCCUUAUAGGUUUCCCCCCUGCCUAUAAUGGACUAGUUGUAAUUAUGUUCCAUGAAUGAAUGAAGUAGCCUUUUCAUGAAAUGUUUGUGCCUUGCUUUGCUGUGCCUUUCAUGCUUGUGAUGCUUGCUUAUUUGUUGCCCCAUUUAUACGAAAUGCUUGUGAUACCGCCCCUAAAUUAGCCUAACUUG